UGCAGAUGGCAGGACAGUA
rnacentral:piRNA from 1 species